AUACUUAUCUGGCUGGGGAGAUACCAUGGACAUGAAAAUGGUUCUCCUGGAGUGAGGUUUACCCAUUGCUCUUCGGAUAUACUGACCCCUGCGAUUACUACAAAUAUAGGAAACUCAACUACAUAAUUUGUGGUAGUGGCAGACUGUGUUUGUGCUUUCCUCUA
rfam:Pteropus alecto contig36680, whole genome shotgun sequence.